UCAAUACGACACGUCCUUGAGCACUGAC
rnacentral:piRNA from 1 species